rnacentral:misc_RNA from 1 species
AAGUCGUAACAAGGUUUCCGUAGGUGAACCUGCGGAAGGAUCAUUAACUAGUUUGUAUUGAAUGUAGUGUGGGAUUUGAGCGCAUUUGAAUAGUUAAUUCUAUGCGGUUUAUAUACAAAUAUAUUGCUGUAAUAAUUAUUAAUUAAAUAAUAAAUACAACUUUUAACAAUGGAUCUCUUGGCUCUU